GACCCUAUCGAGCUUAAUUAAAACCAGAUUAGACACGAUAAUAAAACUUAACCUCUCUCUUGGGUAUAAUUUAGUUGGGGCAACUAAGGAUAAAACCCAUCAUCCUAAAAAUCCACGAUAAACAAAUCAUCCUAUAGAUCCACAAAGUGAUCAAAGAACAAAGCUACCGUAGGGAUAACAGGCUAAAUUUUCCCAAAGAGCCCAAAUUAAUGGGAAAAAUUGGCACCUCGAUGUUGGCUUAAAGUUUCCCUCAGGAGCAAACACUUGAAAAGGUUGGUUUGUUCAACCAUUAAAACUUU
rnacentral:rRNA from 1 species